AAAGAGUUUACGAAAUAUUUAUUAAUUUAUAGAAAAGAAAUAUUUUAAUAACUAUAAUAAAAAUAAUAAAAGAAACAGAAAGAUUAAAUUAAUUAAAAAAUUUUCGCUUCUAGAUUGUUGGAAAAUUUUUCUGAUCUUUUAUUACAAUAUUCUUUAAAAACCAAAUCGAAAAUUAAAGUUCAAGUUUAUAAAAAUGACAAAACAAAAUUAAACAAAAGUAUUGUAAAGAUAAGGUUUAGAUAAGGCCUGUGGAUCGAGACGUGCAGAGCACUGUCCUAGAAGCGAAAUUGCCCCUCCACGUGCGAGGCUUCCCGGCAAUUACUCCUAGCGAUAUAACGACCAUGUUCCACCCCGUCGGCACGCUUUCAAGGUGCCGCAAGACGAACCCAACC
rnacentral:lncRNA from 1 species